rnacentral:rRNA from 1 species
GCGCAAGGGUGAGUAACGCGUGGGUAAUCUGCCUUCGAGGCGGGGAUAACAUCUCGAAAGAGAUGCUAAUACCGGAUAAGACCACAGAAGCUUCGGCUUCAGCGGUAAAAGAUGGCCUCUCAUUAUGAAGCUGUCGCUCGAGGAUGAGCCCGCGUCCUAUUAGCUAGUUGGUAGGGUAUUGGCCUACCAAGGCGAUGAUGGGUAGCUGGUCUGAGAGGAUGGUCAGCCACAUUGGGACUGAGACACUGCCCAGACUCCUACGGGAGGCUGCAGUCGAGAAUCUUUCGCAAUGGGGGAAACCCUGACGAAGCGACGUCGCGUGGGUGAUGAAGGUCUUCGGAUCGUAAAGCCCUGUCACCUGGGACGAAGGCCUUUGACACUAAUAGUGUCAAGGGUUGACUGUACCAGGAGAGGAAGCCCCGGCUAACUCCGUGCCAGCAGCCGCGGUAAUACGGAGGGGGCAAGCGUUGUUCGGAUUCAUUGGGCGUAAAGGGUGUGUAGGCGGCCAUGUAAGUCAGAUGUGAAAUACCUUGGCUCAACCAAGGAAUUGCAUUUGAAACUACAUGGCUUGAGUAUGAGAGAGGAGAGUGGAAUUCCCGGUGUAGAGGUGAAAUUCGUAGAUAUCGGGAGGAACACCGGUGGCGAAGGCGACUCUCUGGCUCAAUACUGACGCUGAAACACGAAAGCUAGGGGAGCGAACGGGAUUAGAUACCCCGGUAGUCCUAGCCGUAAACGAUGGGCACUAGUGUAGGGGUUUAUACCUUCUGUGCCGCAGCUAACGCAUUAAGUGCCCCGCCUGGGGAGUACGACCGCAAGGUUGAAACUCAAAGGAAUUGACGGGGACCCGCACAAACGGUGGAGCAUGUGGUUUAAUUCGACGAUACGCGA